CGGCGAACAACAAUACCUCUGAUUUCUAAGGAUGAACACGAACAACGAAAACAAUGAACCUGCUAAACUGCUGAAUGAGAAGAUCCAUAUACUUCUCUGGAGCCACAGGUGGAUAGAUCUAAUGCAGGAGAAAGAUUUCAAAAGAGACGCUGAAGUUGCCUGCUUUUUUUCUUGACAGGAUCCAUGCUGCAUGAAGUUACGAGUUGGACGUAAUGGCUAUCAAUGUAAAAGCCUUGUGCAGAGACCUUCUCAGAAUGUUCCUUCCUGACAUCAAUUACCUCUGCAGAGUAGAUGACACUUAAACCAAGGUCAUCACCCCUAGUGGAUGUCAUGCUGUGUCUGCAUCCACUGGUGACAUUUCCACACUGGAA